UACAGGGGGGUGCGAGCGUUAAUCGGAAUUACUGGGCGUAAAGCGCACGUAGGUGGCGACGUAAGUCGGGUGUGAAAGCCCCGGGCUCAACCUGGGAAUUGCAUUCGAGACUGCAUUGCUGGAGUACGGAAGAGGAAGGCGGAAUUCCCGGUGUAGCGGUGAAAUGCGUAGAUAUCGGGAGGAACAUCAGUGGCGAAGGCGGCCUUCUGGUCCAGUACUGACACUCAAGUGCGAAAGCGUGGGGAGCAAACAGG
rnacentral:rRNA from 1 species